rnacentral:lncRNA from 15 species
GUCACUCACUCACUCACACACACACACACACACACACACACACACACACACACACACACACACACACACACACACAACCCCAGUAAUAGAUGUAUAAAUGGCUGCUGCAACCUGAUCCUGAUGAUCAGCAUGAAAACAGCUGAUGAGGGCGAUUUAGAGACUGAAGUCAUUAGAAUCAGAGACAUUUCUGUUCCACAAGUCAAAAGAAAAAUAAUGUUCUGAAAGUGAAGAAUUAUUGUUUCACAUGUGCCACCAAAAUACAGCGAGGCUCUGUGAAGGUUUUAUUAGCUGUAAUUAGAUCAAUAGAGAGAGAGUACUUUAUUCAUCUCAAUGGGAAAGUGCAGUUUUACAGCAGCAAAGUUCCACAUGAACCACAGAACAAACAACAUAAAGACAUUCAAAGAUGGAGAGAAGAUUUUAUCAUUUUAUUUCUCAACUAGAAACUGAACUGAAAGUAAAAACUAGGACCAGACUUUAACUCUAAAUCUAUACAAUGAUAGUUCCUGCUAAUACUGUGAUACCAUGGAGGCUCAUAUAGGCUUUGAGUGUCACUUCUUACUGCACAAUGGAAACUUGUCAUUAGUAGCAUUGCUUUAUAAAAUCCAUCACAGCCUGGGCUCAGUGUGUAGAGAACUGGGCUGUACACACAUUGUCACACACAUUUGCAGAUCUCAGGCACAGCAGCAGUUUAACACAAGUCCCAUGGAAACAGUGUGAAGUAGAGGAGGCAGGACAGUGAUUCAAACAGUCUUCUACUGAUGAGCAGCACGUCUCAGAAACAGGACGAUGCUACAACAUCACCCUCCUCACUACUGUGAGCAGAACCACAACCAAGCUCUCAGCUGUGGACAUUUCAGGAGCAUACACACCUUUAGUUGUUGUUUGUGUGGCUGAUGUCCAAUCUGCUGUGUGUGAUAUACACUUACAUUCUGAGUGUCACAUUCACUCUCUGUCAUCUGUUUCAGAGGCCCAACCCCAGACUGCAGACUCCACUGGAUGGAUUGCUGCUAUUGUAGCUGCAGUUUUCAUCAUUGUUUUAUUGUUGGUGGUGCUUGGUGCUGUUGUGUAUUAUUACAAGCAUAAAAACACACAAUAUCCUACCACAGGUGUGGCGAAUGGAAGCACUCCCACCGAAGACCCCAAUUCAUUGACACCAUUCAGGGAAUCUUGCUGAUCCAGAAUCGUAACUAUCUCUCCAUGUGCUGUGCAGUUGUCUGUUGUGAGAAUUCAACUUUGAAAGUUUUAGACCAUACUGUAUGAUAGUGAGGACAUUUUGGCUGCUCCUCACUUUAAUGGUUAAGACCUGGUUAUAAGGUUAAAGUUACAUUAGUUUCAGGUUAAGGUUGGGGUUAGUCCUAUGGUUAGUUGUGAUGGUAGCCAGGUGAAAUGAAGGUUGUUUAUGUGGUGAAUGUGUGUGUAGACAGGGAUUUGUGUCCCAUUACCACGACCACAAUCUUUCCCUGAUCUUAACCAAGUGUUUUAUAUCCUGUCCUCAUAAUGAGUUCUCCUUCUCAACAUCACUGACAGUCAAAUAACAGCAUGCCUUAUUGGUUCAUUGAACAUGGACCAUGCACUUUAAUAUGCAUUAUUAUCAGCCCUACACAAUAAAAGCUGCUCCAUAUGAAAGUACAGUGAUAGUGAUGAGACAGCGGUCAGUUCCAUAGAGACAGAUUGGAGUUAACAAGGUGACAACAGAAGAGAACGAGUGGCCUUUAAUGCAGACAGAGCUGAUUAUUAAUGAAUCAUUCUGUUAAUGAGAAUUGAAUGAAUAGUUUGUGUUGAUAUUGAUAUUUUGAUAUUUGCUGUGAUUGAGUUCCACUCUUGUGCAGCUUUAAGAGAACAAAUAUUGACUAAACACACUUUUACUCUGUUAUUAAUGUGGUUGAGGACAAAGACGACUUCUUGCACUCUGUUCUGUUGCUUUUAUUCUUUUCUUUUUUAGAUGAAUUUCAUUCCAGGCAGCAUAAUGUAAAGUCCUAAUCAAACUGCCCACUGGACUCUUGUUGAGGACAUUAUACUGUAGCACCUCGAUGAAUAAGACGGAGCUACACAGAAACAAACUAAUGUGAUAAAUAAUGAGACAGCAAAGCAGGAUAAUAGAACAAGUAAUGACAUCAAAUAAAGUAACACACAGCAGAAUUCAAAUGGACCAAGUUAAAAAGGGACCUGAUUAAAGUCAACUUCUGAUAAAAGAGAAUUUGAUAUCAGUGUUUAAAGCUAAGGGGCUCAGACCAAAAACGCCUCCUGAUGGUCAGAGCAGCACCUUGCAUGGUAGCUCUCUGCCAUCAGUGAGUGAGUGAGUGUGAAUGGAUGAAUGAGGGGCAGAAGUGCAGUAUAAACACUGUCUAUUUACCAAUAUUAUCAGACUGCUUGUAGUUGUUAAAGGUCCUAACUGAGCUACACAUGGCCAUUAAAAGCCUUCACUGAACUAAAGCUGCUCUUACUGGAAAUGAAUGGGAAUGUUUUGCAGCUAAAGUGAAAUAUAAUGUGACUUUGUGUUUUAUUGACAUAUUUGUGUUAUUGACAUUAUUUGGGACAACCCUGUAUUGUUUGUUUAUUUGUUAAGGUGAGUCAGAGUGUGUCAGGUACAGUUCCACACUGAACUCCACACUCAGUGUCCAGUUUAUUAGGUCCACCUAGCUAAAGCUAAUGCAGGCUAAUACAACAGUCCUGCAUAAUAAAGUGUUGCUGACUGAUGUUUGAAUUGUCUCAAAGUUCAUGUAUGUUUCUGUUGUUUGCUGAUGAUGCAUUUGGAAGCUAUCAUGUAAUCUCAGGCAGUGCUUCAUCAUUUCUAUACAAACGUUUGAAUAAAAGCUGAAAAAUGUCAAACUGUGUGUUGGGACUGUUUUUGAUGUUUCUGUGUGUUCAGACUGUUUGAGGUAGAAUCUAAUCAGAGAGGGCUGCUGCAUAUAGGGACAGCAACUAUCAGACAGCACCACAAUGAGGGAGAGAGAGGCAGCACAUUGCACACAAAAGGACCUUUAUUUUGACAGGAACUUCCUCUUUAAAGAUCCAGUGUGUAGGAUUUAGUGACAUCUAGUGGUGAGAUUGCAGACUGCAACCAAAGCGCCUCACACUCCCCUUCCAAACGUGUAGAGAAAGUGCUGCUAACUGAAUGUACUUCAGAGCUUUGUCAUUGUGUGUGCUCUGUACAUACAGCAGCAGUUCCAUCCAUCCUGGAAGAGAGAUCCCUCUGUCGCUCUUUCUAAGCUUUCUCCCUCAUUUUAAAUUCAACUUUAAAUCAGUGACAGUGAUUCUUUCUAAGGAUAGAGGGUGCUGCGUGUUGCACAGAUACAAAGAUAUUAGCAAUGAAGCUGACUAAAGUUUGUGUAGUUCAUGAACAUUAAAGAGCACAGCUGCAGCAGACGGACACAGCUUGGUGGAAUUGAACCUGUGACCUUCCAGUAAGCUUCUCCAGCCACCAACCUGCCAACUUCCCUGAGUCAUGAAUCCACGACACAGCAGUUUAUUAAUCAGGACAGUGUGUUUGUGAACAACAGCAAACAGUAAAUGUUUCUUCAGCUUUGUGAUUUUGUCUUUAUAUAAUAAUAUAUUAAUAAUGUAUCAUUUGUGCAGUGAUGCUAUGAUCAGACACUGGAUCAAUAAAAAUGGCUGUAGUCUCUGUGACGUCACCC